rnacentral:rRNA from 1 species
GACGAACGCUGGCGGCGUGCUUAACACAUGCAAGUCGAACGGAAAGGCCUGCUUUCCCUUGUGGAUUGCGGGCACUCGAGUGGCGAAAGGGUGAGUAAAACGGGAGGGAUCUGGCCCCAACUCGGGUAUAAGCCUGGGAAAAUGGGUCUAAUUACCGAUAGGACUGCAGGGUGGUGCCAGUGGUGGAAGACGAUUUUCUAGUGGUUGGGGAUGAGCGCGCGGCCUAUCAGCUUGUUGGUGGGGUAGUCGACGACCAAGUCGGCGACGGGUAGCCGGCCGGGGACGGCGGACCUGCGCAUUGGGACUGGGACACGGCCCUGACGCCUGCGGCAGGCAGGAGUGGUGAAUAAUGGACGAUAGGCGGAAGGCUGAUGCCGCGACGCGGCGUGGGGGAUGUCGGCUCUCGGGUUGUAGUCUCCUUUGGACCGCGAGGAAGCCACCUGGUUGGACAGGUGGUGACGGUAGCUGAAGAGGAAGCACCGGCUAACUACGUG